UACGAAGGGGGCUAGCGUUGCUCGGAAUUACUGGGCGUAAAGCGCACGUAGGCGGAUUGUUAAGUCGGGGGUGAAAUCCUGGAGCUCAACUCCAGAACUGCCUUUGAUACUGAAGAUCUUGAGUUCGGGAGAGGUGAGUGGAACUGCGAGUGUAGAGGUGAAAUUCGUAGAUAUUCGCAAGAACACCAGUGGCGAAGGCGGCUCACUGGCCCGAUACUGACGCUGAGGCACGAAAGCGUGGGGAGCAAACAGG
rnacentral:rRNA from 1 species